UAACUUCUAAGUGAAAAGGCUUAGAUAAUUCAAAAAGACGAUAAGACCCUAUAAAUCUUAACAUAAUACACUAAACCAUUUUGAAUUAUAUUUAUAUAAAAAAAGGGAAAGUUAAUAUGUUUCGUUGGGGCAACGAAGAUAUAAAAUAUUUAAUUGUUUUAAAUAUAAACAAAAAUUUUUGAUUUUAUAAGAUCCUUUUUAAAGAUUAAAAGAUUAAGUUACUUUAGGGAUAACAGCGUUAUUCUUUUUGAGAGUUCUCAUCGAAAAAAGAGUUUGCGACCUCGAUGUUGAAUUAAAAAAUCU
rnacentral:rRNA from 1 species